CCCCGGGAAACUGGGUUUAAUACCCGAUAGAUCUCGGCUGCUGGAAUGCACCGAGUUCUAAAGCUCCGGCGCUCAAGGAUGGAUCUGCGGCCUAUCAGGUAGUAGUGGGUGUAGCGUACCAACUAGCCUACGACGGGUACGGGUUGUGAGAGCAAGAGCCCGGAGAUGGAUUCUGAGACACGAAUCCAGGCCCUACGGGGUGCAGCAGGCGCGAAAACUUUACAAUGCUGGAAACAGCGAUAAGGGGACCUCGAGUGCCAGGUUACAAAUCUGGCUGUCGUGAUGCCUAAAAAGCAUUGCAUAGCAAGGGCCGGGCAAGACCGGUGCCAGCCGCCGCGGUAACACCGGCGGCUCGAGUGGUAACCGUUAUUAUUGGGUCUAAAGGGUCUGUAGCCGGCCGGAUAAGUCUCUUGGGAAAUCUGGCAGCUUAACUGUCAGGCUUUCAGGAGAUACUGUCUGGCUCGAGGCCGGGAGAGGUGAGAGGUACUUCAGGGGUAGGGGUGAAAUCUUGUAAUCCUUGAAGGACCACCAGUGGCGAAGGCGUCUCACCAGAACGGACCUGACGGCAAGGGACGAAAGCUAGGGGCACGAACCGGAUUAGAUACCCGGGUAGUCCUAGCCGUAAACGAUACUCGCUAGGUGUCGGCCACGGUGCGACCGUUGUCGGUGCCGUAGGGAAGCCGUGAAGCGAGCCACCUGGGAAGUACGGCCGCAAGGCUGAAACUUAAAGGAAUUGGCGGGGGAGCACCACAACGGGUGGAGCUUGCGGUUUAAUUGGAUUCAACGCCGGAAAUCUUACCGGGACCGACAGCAAUAUGAAGGCCAGGCUGAAGACUUUGCCGGAUUAGCU
rnacentral:rRNA from 1 species